GAUUCUGUGCGAUUCCACUACUCCCUAACGAGUCACGACAGCGGACGCCGCUCCACUCCCCGUAACUGAUUCCACGUGGCGGACCACGGCGAUAGCUACGAUCCCGCUCCACUACCCUCCGCAAUAAAUUCCUUCUAGUUCUGGGUGGCCCACGACCAGACGAUUUCAGGCGUCACUAUCAAUUUGUUGUCCCCUCCAUCUAUAAAAGGGGAACCCCAGAUAUGUU
rnacentral:lncRNA from 1 species